GCCCUGGUGGCACAAUGGUUAAGCACCUGGCUUCUAACCGAGAGGUUGGUGGUUCAAAUCCACCCAGCUGCU
rnacentral:tRNA from 1 species